AGAAAGAUAAGCUAAUGUAAGCUAUUAGGUUCAUACCCUAAAUAUAGAUUUGAUCUUCUUUCUA
rnacentral:tRNA from 1 species